rnacentral:snRNA from 1 species
CUUGUUGACUCACAUGAUUCAA